CUACACACCAGCGAUCUCUAAAAAUGUCCUUUGGGUUUGUUUUAAGCGAUUUUUUCGGUUACAAAUUUCAAACAUAUUACUUCGUAUAAAAUCUUUUAAACUGAUUAAAAUUAAAAACAAAGCGAUUCGGCUUGUGACACUAACAAAAAAAAACCUUUUACGUCUCAAUUUACUUUACUUUAAAAUUGUUUAUAGAAAAAAGAUCAACGAAUGUCUGUUUUUCCAUCUCCAUUGGGCACCACCAGCAAAUAGCUUUAAGCAUCGUAAGUAUCGAAAAUGGGUGCUUAACUUGACCGCAAGACUAUCAUAAGGGCGACAAAUUCAGUUUAAGGUUUUCGAUUGAUGCGACAAUGUUAAAACAAUUGAAUAUUAAUGCACAGUUGUGCGGAUAUG
ensembl:ncRNA asRNA:CR45612 antisense RNA:CR45612